GGGGACGUAGGAAAAUUGGUAACCCCAUCGGACUGUAAAUCCGACGCCAAAAGCAUCUGUGAGUUCAAGUCUCACCGGCCCCA
rnacentral:tRNA from 1 species